rnacentral:misc_RNA from 1 species
GUGACUCAGUUGCCAGGAACCACAUGGAAUCACUCCUUUGCCUCUUGUCACAGGCGGAAGUUCCAAUAGAUGCUUACAAGGACAAAGAUGACAGAAACAGAAUAUGGUACUUUCCUGCUCAUCAGUUCACUCUUAAAAUCCUAUGGACAAAAUUCCUGGUAGUCGGCGAGGAGAGAAAGAUCAACGAUUCUUCGUCUGGAAUUUUCGACUUGUAUCUGGACAAGGUUGAUGACAACUGGACUAGAGCUCUCCACACCAUUGAUUACAUUAUCAUCUCCGACGGACACUGGUUCUUCAGACCAAUAUACCUACAUAAAGGUUCAAAUGUUGUAGCAUGUAUCUACUGCAACGAACCAAAUGUGACUGAUCGAGGUGUUAGCUUUGCUGUGAGUAUGGCAUUUCGAGCUGCUUUGGGUCAUAUUAAUCACUGCAAGAAAUGCAAGGGCGUAGUCACAUUGUUGAGGACAUUCUCACCAUCCCAUUUUGAGAAUGGGUUUUGGAACACCGGAGGAAGCUGCAACAGGACAAGUCCUUUCAGUGAAAAGGAGAUUGACUAUGGAGCUCGUGAGUGGGAACUCAGGAACAUGCAGGUAGAGGAGAUUGAAAGAGCAAACAGGAAAAGAAAGGAAGGGAAGAGGUUUGAGGUUUUGGAUGUCACAAGGGCUAUGCUUAUGAGACCUGAUGGGCAUCCGGGAGAUUACUGGGGCAACAAAUGGAUGAAGGGUUAUAAUGACUGUGUUCAUUGGUGCUUGCCAGGUCCCAUUGAUUUGUGGAGCGAUUUGUUGCUGGCUGUUCUCAGGAGGCUGAGUUGAUGUCCUGGUCAAGAGAGGGAGUGUAAUUAGGUAAAAGAGUACACAUUUUAUAUAGUAAUACUGUCCAAUUGUUUUCUCGUCGGACAAUAAUUAUUCCGGCUCACAAACGUUCAAGCAUUACCAGCGGAGAUGGAAAUAAAUAACUAUGGCGUCGAAAGAUUGCUUUUGGUCCAUUAGCGUGUAUAUGAUAUAACAG